rnacentral:rRNA from 1 species
ACGCUGGCGGCACGCCUAACACAUGCAAGUCGAACGAAGUAGCAAUACUUAGUGGCAGACGGGUGAGUAACAUGUAGGUAUCUACCCUUUGGCCUGGAAUAACACGAGGAAACUUGUGCUAAUACCGGAUAAGUCUUUACGGAGAAAGCUUUAUGCACCAUUGGAUGAGCCUGCACUUGAUUAGUUUGUUGGUGGGGUAAUGGCCUACCAAGACUGUGAUCAAUAGCUGAUUUGAGAGGAUGAUCAGCCACAUUGGGACUGAGACACGGCCCAAACUCCUACGGGAGGCAGCAGUGGGGAAUCUUGCACAAUGGAGGAAACUCUGAUGCAGCGAUGCCGCGUGAGUGAAGAAGGCCUUUGGGUUGUAAAGCUCUUUCGUCGGGGAAGAAAAUGACUGUACCCGAAUAAGAAGGUCCGGCUAACUUCGUGCCAGCAGCCGCGGUAAUACGAAGGGACCUAGCGUAGUUCGGAAUUACUGGGCUUAAAGAGUUCGUAGGUGGUUGAAAAAGUUGGUGGUGAAAUCCCAGAGCUUAACUCUGGAACUGCCAUCAAAACUUUUCAGCUAGAGUUUGAUAGAGGAAAGCAGAAUUUCUAGUGUAGAGGUGAAAUUCGUAGAUAUUAGAAAGAAUACCAAUUGCGAAGGCAGCUUUCUGGAUCAUUACUGACACUGAGGAACGAAAGCAUGGGUAGCGAAGAGGAUUAGAUACCCUCGUAGUCCAUGCCGUAAACGAUGUGUGUUAGACGUUGGAAAUUUAUUUUCAGUGUCGCAGCGAAAGCGAUAAACACACCGCCUGGGGAGUACGACC